rnacentral:rRNA from 1 species
UAAUACGGAGGGUGCAAGCGUUGUCCGGAUUUACUGGGUUUAAAGGGUACGUAGGCGGCGAAUUAAGUCAGUGGUGAAAUGUGUCGGCUCAACCGGCAAAGGGCCAUUGAUACUGGUUUGCUAGAGUGUUGUAUAGGUGGGCGGAAUUGAUGGUGUAGCGGUGAAAUGCAUAGAUACCAUCAAGAACACCGAUUGCGAAGGCAGCUCACUAGGCAACAACUGACGCUGAGGUACGAAAGCGUGGGGAGCGAACAGGAUUAGAUACCCUGGUAGUCCACGCCGUAAACGAUGAUCACUCGGUGCUUGUAUUUUUAUAUGAGUGCCCCAGCGAAAGCGAUAAGUGAUCCACCUGGGGAGUACGCUCGCAAGAGUG